rnacentral:rRNA from 1 species
UGCCAGCAGCCGCGGUAAGACGGAGGGCGCAAGCGUUGUUCGGAAUUACUGGGCGUAAAGCGCGGGCAGGUGGUCUGUUAAGUCUUCUGUGAAACUCCGGGGCUCAACCCCGGACAUGCAGGAGAUACUGGCAGACUUGAGACCGGUAGAGGCUAGCGGAAUUCCUGGUGUAGCGGUGGAAUGCGUAGAUAUCAGGAGGAACACCGAUGGCGAAGGCAUCUCUCUGGGUCGAUAUUGACGCUGAGGCGCGAAGGCGUGGGUAGCAAACAGGAUUAGAUA